rnacentral:rRNA from 1 species
UACGUAGGGUGCGAGCGUUUAAUCGGAAUUACUGGGCGUAAAGCGUGCGCAGGCGGUUCGUUAAGUCAGCUGUGAAAGCCCCGGGCUCAACCUGGGAACGGCGGUUGAAACUGGCGAACUAGAAUCUGGCAGAGGGGGGGUGGAAUUCCACGUGUAGCAGUGAAAUGCGUAGAGAUCGGGAGGAACACCAGUGGCGAAGGCGGCCGGCUGGGGGGUGACCUGACGCUGGAGGCGCGAAAAGCGGUGGGGGAGCG